GUGCUUGUUUCAGCAGCACAUGUACUAAAAUUGAAAAGGUACAGAGAUUAGCAUGGCCCCUGCACAAAGAUGAUACACGAAUUCAUUCCAAAAAAUU
rnacentral:snRNA from 1 species